CUGCCACUUGGUGCACUCAUCGAUUUUUCACGUGGCGCUCCGAAUCGAAGCGAGUGCGUCGAUAAUGUUGCGCCAGUCAACCACUUCGUUGUCACGUUUGUCUGCCCGUUAUCUCACGGCGCCUAGCAAGGCAAAACAAACAAGCGCAUCGCGCUGGCUCGCAAAAUCUCGACGAUAGCGAGCCGCAAAUUGAAAGGAGACUGAAAAGACGAGCCGCGGAUAUCGCGGCGAUGCACUGUCGGACAAGUGUCGCGGAGGUUUAUCGCUGGAAGCACUGCGCGCACCGCGCGAGCGAAAAACAGCGAAAGAACGUGUCAGAGAGCGAGGGGACAGGAGAGCGUACGCGCGAGCUUACAAGCUCGCGAGAUAACCUCGCCGUCGAGCUGUGGUCGUGAGUGCGAGCGGACGGGGACGGGAGUGCGCGAGCGCGGACGGCCCGAGAUGCGCCGUCAGCGGGAUGGAAGUGCACACACCUUGCUGUCGAUGCCAGAGCGCAGUAACGGCGAUCGGCUGGCGCAACCUCGCAGGCUCUAACGAAGAUAAGACUGGCACAAUGAUCCAAGUGGCAACUGGCCGACGCUCGCGACGCCCAGAGCUGGAGUAAGUGAGCCGGGCGGAGCAGCGCGCGCAUGUACGCUGCGCCGAGGUCUAAUCUCAUUGACGGUCGUACAUUAAGUAAGAGCAAAAACACUGACGCACAUUACCACAUACGUGUACGUAGACACGGCACUUCUCCCGGCAGAUUUACGAGCUUGUCGGAAAAUCUUUUAUGUAAGCAAACUACUCUAGGAGCAACGCAAUUGAGUAGCGAGCGAGUGAUUUCAAAUACUCAAAUGCUUUGCCAAAGUUUUGUAGAAAGUCCAAGAGAAACGAAGCUCUCACAGCUGUUAUCUAGAGCGCAAGCAAUCGAACUGACUGCGAGUGGCGGAGCGUAAACGUGGCCAGUAAGCGCUGCAGAUUUUCCGCGCGGCGUGGUGCGGAGGCGGCGGCGUGGCAGCGCGGCGGCGGCGUGGCGGCGGCGUGGCGGCGGCGGCGGCGGCGACAGCAACGACGACGACGACGACGAUGACGACGACGACGACAAGCCGUGUGGCGCGGCGCUGUAUGGAAAUAUAUGGAGACUUGCCUGCUUUUACAGAUGAGCCAGCUGCUCUUGGAAUGAUCUUCUGGAACUCUAUGUCCGAGCACUUGUCGGGUGACCGUAGCUAAAGAAGAAACAAAGUAUCCUCGAGAAGGUUCACGCUGAUUGCAGAGUCAGCAUCAUCAUCAUCAUCAUCAUCAUCAUCAUCAUCAUCAUCAUCAUCAUCAUCAUCACGCCCGAGGAAUUCCGUGCGCGAGCGUAUACAUUGAAGAUCGGGCGUACACGAAAGUGUGGGCGUCCUCAAACCAUGCACCGAAGGCGUAUGCGUUUGACUGUGGGCAAGACUCCAGACGUUCCUCCUGUAGGUCAGCGCGGCCGCUUCGAUUUAUUAUCCACGUACUCGCUUUCUUUGCAUCACGGCCCGCUCACACCCACAAUAUUCAUAUCGAUCCAAUUUUUUAUUUUUCAUUUCUCAGCCACAGCUCCUCCCUACCCACUACUCUUGCCCUUAUAAUCUCUGUACUCGAUCGCUACUCCUACUAAACUUUUAUCGUCUCUGCGACUUCAUUCAGAAAAUUUAUGCACGCAAUUACAUUCUUACUUAAACAAAGAGAACAGUUAAAAUGAUGAAAUGUGUUACAACUUUCGUUCCGCGCAUUGACUAUAGUCGAAGCGAUCGAGAAACACUCCCUGUGAAAGUAAUCUUCAUCCGCAUAAAUGCUGCGCAAAACUACCGAUGUGAUUACUACGCACGAGAUUCAUAAAGCGAAAAAACCCUGACCUUUACAACUCAAAACUCAAAUGAAUUUCGUCCAAAUUUCAUCGUGGGAAUUGUUUACUUGUGCAGUUCGUGCCUCGCAACAAAGCCUCCUGAUAACCUUCGUCAUUCUCAAUGCUAUGGUUUGCGUCAAAACAAAAAAACUCCAAAACCAAUUAACUUUGAUUAUUUCGAUAUAUGCUACUGAUUACCUAACAAUAUUAAACGAUCAUUUUCAUCGUGUUCUUAAAGCACUUAUUUCAUUUUUCAAAUCCGUUGCAGUGAAUAAUUUGAAUUGAUAUGUGAAAAGUAUUAUUGAAAAUUGUUAUUGAAAGAUUAGAGAAGUGGGAAUGUAUGAGAGCAUUGAAAAUUUUAGGGGCAAUCCCGCAAGUGACCUUAAUGGAUCUCAAUACAGGCCGCAUUAGCAUUCAUUACCACUACUUGUCUCUCAUAAGUAAGGAACUUUUCCAUAGUGGCAUAUCAUUUAGUGGAACUGCUUUCGAUCCUUGAGCGCGAUAAUUGUCUGAGAUUCUAGUUGGUUAUCUGGCCAACCAACAAUCUUCAGGAUAUGCUUCGCUGUAUGAAUUGAGUAGACCAGCUGAAGCCUUCUUAUGGCAAGAAAGAACAUUUACAAGCAAUAUAUCACAUUUGCAAUGUCCUUUUUGAUCCAGUAGUAGAAAAGCAGGGACUGAAUCCCUUGAUCGAUUCACCCAUUAGUCCACCCAUCGAAACAAAUAAUAAGCUAGCUAGGUUGCUCAAGAUCUCUGCCUUUGAUCAUUGGUAUUGUCAGUGAGGAAAGAUUUUUUCCCGUGGCUGAUAACCACGUUUGUCAAAUGUAUAAUAUAUAAAGCGAUAUUUUUCUUGCUAAUUCAUUGUAAAGUUAAUUAGUGUUGAAAACGUAAAUGUAGGAGCAAACAGCGCGCAAUGCGGGAUUUUCUUUGAUUCAUGCUAUACGAAUUUUCAUUAGAAAUACAGUUUACACUGUCUUAUGUAAC